ensembl:ncRNA lncRNA:CR45606 long non-coding RNA:CR45606
GCAGCGACAACUAGCCCGUUUGUCUAAAGAUAUAGCCACCUCCUGGCCAAAUUUCCACCUACUCUAUUUUACGUAGCAGCUCCCUGCUCUACACACCUGGCUAUUUGGCAUCUGGAAUUCGCCUGGGAGUCGUCAUUGUCCAACUUGCUAAACUGUUUGAAUUUGCCAGCGAGAAUCGCAAGUGAAAGUUUUGAUUUUCUGGCUCCGCACUAGCUGACCCCGAUUUAUUUUUAGAAGUGCACUAAAAAUAAAUGCGAAGGUCGCUACGUAAUUGGCUGGGAUUCGCUGGCGUCGGAUGUUGAUUUUCAUAGGGGGUGCAGGGGAAGGGAGCAGGAAGCGGACUCCAACUUGAACGCACUGCACAAACUGCAUAAGGUCAAAGUGUCAACUGCAACAGCAGCAGCGGCAGCGGCAGCAGGCGCCGAAUAAAAAUCCGAAUCGGUUGCGAAUCGGGUUCGGAUCGGAUCGGAUCGGAACGGGCUGGGAUGGGCCUCCGGGCUCCAUUCAUCUGCGGGGCCAAUGGGCAAUGUCAAACAGGUGUGCAGACGGCGUCGACGUCAUUGCCGGAACACCAGCCAACAUCCCCAUCGGUCUCCAACACCAACAUCAUCUUCCCUCCAUUUCCAUCCGAUUCCCAUCUCGAACUUCUGGCACAGCCGUGUUCCAAUUGAUAAGCAAGUGCUGCACUCCAGGUGCUUGUUACAUACAUAUAUCACAUAGGAAACAUAGCUAGCAUCCCUAUAUCACGAAAAUCCGUGCACAAACUUUCUUAAAAGCUAGGAGAAAGGUACAAACAU